CAGAGUUUGAUCAUGGCUCAGAUUGAACGCUGGCGGCAGGCCUAACACAUGCAAGUCGAGCGGAAACGACACUAACAAUCCUUCGGGUGCGUUAAUGGGCGUCGAGCGGCGGACGGGUGAGUAAUGCCUAGGAAAUUGCCUUGAUGUGGGGGAUAACCAUUGGAAACGAUGGCUAAUACCGCAUAAUGCCUACGGGCCAAAGAGGGGGAUCUUCGGACCUCUCGCGUCAAGAUAUGCCUAGGUGGGAUUAGCUAGUUGGUGAGGUAAUGGCUCACCAAGGCGACGAUCCCUAGCUGGUCUGAGAGGAUGAUCAGCCACACUGGAAAGGC
rnacentral:rRNA from 1 species